rnacentral:lncRNA from 1 species
CUCGGCGCCGCUUUCCUGUCCCCAGAGGGACGAGGGCACCCAGUCAGCAGGAAAGGAGGCAGCAGGCGGGGACGCCAGGCCGGACCUUUGGCUGGGAACCGCGGGGCUGAGCACAGACUCCAGCAUCGUAAUCAGCAGAGUGAGGAAGCGGGUCCUGUCGGCUGUCUUGCGUGGGGGCCGCAGCCAUGGCAGCGCCCGGUCCAGGCCAGGCAGGGAGCGGAGAAAGGCCUGUCUGCCUCCUGCCUGACCUUUGUCAGCAGGACAUGGAGGAGCCCCGGCUGGCACUGCCAGUGUGUGCCUUCUCAGGGGAGCCUCUAGGUCUGUGGCAGGGGGGCCACCUGACUUCCUGUCCAGUCCCUCCUCGGAAGCUGCCCCCACGUAGGGGCUUCCCAGGCCUUCAUAGGGAGGGGCCUGUGGGGCUGUUUUCUGCUCUCAGAGCAGCAUUCCCAGCGGAGGCACAGGCAGCAAAGACCCCUCCCCAGACCAGGCGGCUGUCAGGAUAGCCGUGCGGCUCCCUUUCCGGCUCCGAGCGGGGCCCUGGCCGCCCUGUUAGCGGCCGUGUGCCAGCAGUCCACAAAGUGCCUCUUUGUUGGGCCCCCACCCCGUGCCAACCAGGCCAGCCACUCGCAGGCCGGCUUUGAGCAGGGUCCCCACCCUCCCCCAGACUUGCAGAAGUCAGGCCUUCCAGUUUAGCUGGGUUUGUGCCCACCUUGUCCCAAGCUUGGGGUUCAUCGAGUUCACCCCCACUUUUAAUAAUGGAACAGUCCCCUCCCAAUCCUACAGCCUACCCGACGAGUCCCCCACCCCCUGGGAAGUCUGCCAGCCCCCCAGGGUGGCUCCCGCCCAGGGCUGGAGGGCAGCAGGGGGCUGCUCACUGUCACGGCCUCUCUGGGCAACGACAGCCUAGGACAGUGGGUAGGGACCUACCUCCCCGGCCACCCAGGGCCCAGGCCACCCUCCAGCCAAAGCCCAGCACAGGCCCUCUGGCCUGGCAUCUCUCCCAGGAGACCCCAGCCUGCCCUCCAAGGAGACUGCCUCUGCCUUUGUUCCUGGCAGAGCCUGGAGUUCCCCUUCGCCUAUCAGGAUGGUUUAAUCAAGCCCUGGGAAGAGGAGACAGGUCUUGCUCAGAAGCGGGGACUGCGGACAGAGGCCGCAACAGCCUGGGGAGCCUGCAGGUAAGGCGGCCCCAUGCUCGGAGGGGGGGGGGUGGGGGGUAUCAAGCACUCCACCUAUGACCUGUCCGGCGCACAG